rnacentral:rRNA from 1 species
UGGGGGAUAUUGCACAAUGGGCGAAAGCCUGAUGCAGCGACGCCGCGUGGGGGAUGAAGGCCUUCGGGUUGUAAACUUCUUUUGCUCUGAACAAGGCAUGCUUUUGGGGUGUGCUGAGUGUAGGGGUUGAUUAGCGCCGGCUAACUACGUGCCAGCAGCCGCGGUAAUACGUAGGGCGCGAGCGUUGUCCGGAAUUAUUGGGCGUAAAGGGCUUGUAGGUGGCUGGUUGCGUCUGUCGUGAAAGCUCAUGGCUUAACUGUGGGUUUGCGGUGGGUACGGGCUGGCUUGAGUGCAGUAGGGGAGGCUGGAAUUCCUGGUGUAGCGGUGGAAUGCGCAGAUAUCAGGAGGAAUACCGGUGGCGAAGGCGGGUCUCUGGGCUGUUACUGACGCUGAGGAGCGAAAGCGUGGGGAGCGAACAGG